GAACGUCCUCUGUCUUUUCGGAGAGAGAGGGAGUGGCGGACGGGUGAGUAACACAUGGGUGACCUACCCUUUGGUGAGGGAUACCGGCGAGAAAUCGCCGACAAACCCGCAUAGGCUGGCUCUGGUGGAGCGGAGCGAGCAAAGUUUUCUUUCGGGGAGACGCCAGGGGAUGGGCCUGUGGCCGAUUAGCUAGUUGGUGGGGUAAGAGCCUACCAAGGCGACGAUCGGUAGCUGGUCUGAGAGGACGAACAGCCACACUGGGAUUGAGAACGGCCCAGACUCCUACGGGGGGCAGCAGUGAGGAAUUUUCCGCAAUGGGCGAGGAGCCUGACGGAGCAACGCCGCGUGCAGGAGGACGCUUUUCGGAGUGUAAACUGCUUUUCUGUGGGACGAGGAUGGACGGUACCACAGGAAGAAGCCCCGGCUAACUACGUG
rnacentral:rRNA from 1 species